rnacentral:rRNA from 1 species
GGAAUGACUACAAUUUAAAUCCUUUAAGAAGGAUCCAUUGGAGGGCAAGUCUGGUGCCAGCAGCCGCGGUAAUUCCAGCUCCAAUAGCGUAUAUUAAAGUUGCUGCAGUUAAAAAGCUCGUAGUUGGAUCUCAGUUACGGGCAGGUGGUUCACUUUACAGUGCUACUACCUGAACCGAACCUAUUGCUGGAUCUCUUGGGUGCCCUUCACUGGGUGCCCCUUGAGACCAGACUGUUUACUUUGAGAAAAUUAGAGUGCUCAAAGCAGGCGAAUGCCUGAAUAGUUGUGCAUGGAAUAAUGAAAUAUGGCCUCGGUACUGUUUUGUUGGUUCACGGUGCUCGAGGUAAUGGUUGAAAGGGACUGACGGGGGCAUUCGUAUUGCGACGUUAGAGGUGAAAUUCUUAGAUCGUCGCAAGACGGACUACUGCGAAAGCAUUUGCCAAGAAUGUCUUCAUUAAUCAAGAACGAAAGUCAGAGGUUCGAAGGCGAUCAGAUACCGCCCUAGUUCUGACCUUAAACGAUGCUAACUGGCGAUCCAGUGGGGGUAUUUAAAAUGACCUGCUGGGCAGCUUCUGGGAAACCAAAGUUUUUGGGUUCCGGGGGAAGUAUGGUUGCAAAGCUGGAACUUAAAGGAAUUGACGGAAGGGCACCACCAGGAGUGGAGCCUGUGGCUUAAUUUGACUCAACAC